GGGAGAUAUGGUAACAACAGGAAAACAAUCCUGAUAUUUCUAAGACUCAGAAAACACUUUUGCAUAAGAUGCUGUUAAGCUUAUCAGAUGGGAAGAAACAGCUGCAUUGCAACAGUCCCAGAAAGGAGCCACAAACCAGAUGACCGUGAGUUCCAUGUUGAUUGAAAUGUGGAUCUGCCAGCCACAAGCGCCAGAAACUGGAAUGCAGUCUA